rnacentral:tmRNA from 1 species
GGGGGCGACCUGGCUUCGACGAGGGCAUAGAGGUUCAAAGACGCGUGCCGAGUGGGCUCAUCACACUCGUUAAUCCACAUGGGCAAAACCAAUAAAAGCCAACGACAACGUUGAGCUUGCGCUGGCCGCCUAAAAACCGGUUCACGCACGGUCGCCUGAGCUUCUGCUCGUGAGCGCAGGGCCGACCGAACCAAUGCGAGCUGGCUCUCACUCAUGGCUGGAGGGGUGAGGGCGAGACUUUUCCAGUCAGGCCAUCGCGUAUUCCGUCCGUGGAAGCUGCGGUGGCGUCAUCAAAACGCGGGCUACGCACGUAGGGUCUUUGCGCCAAAGGCUUUCGGACGUGGGUUCGAUUCCCACCGCCUCCACUC